AGUGGCGGACGGGUGAGUAACGCGUGAGAAUCUGCCUUGGGGUCGGGGACAACCACUGGAAACGGUGGCUAAUACCGGAUAAGCCGAUUGGUGAAAGAUUUAUUGCCCGAAGAGGAGCUCGCGUCUGAUUAGCUAGUUGGUGAGGUAAGAGCUCACCAAGGCAGCGAUCAGUAGCUGGUCUGAGAGGACGAUCAGCCACACUGGGACUGGGACACGGCCCAGACUCCUACGGGAGGCAGCAGUGGGGAAUUUUCCGCAAUGGGCGAAAGCCUGACGGAGCAAGACCGCGUGAGGGAGUAAGGCUCUUGGGUUGUAAACCUCUUUUCUCAGGGAAGAAGCUCUGACGGUACCUGAGGAAUCAGCCUCGGCUAACUCCGUGCCAGCAGCCGCGGUAAUACGGAGGAGGCAAGCGUUAUCCGGAAUUAUUGGGCGUAAAGCGUCCGCAGGUGGCGAUUCAAGUCUGCUGUCAAAGCACGGGGCUUAACUCCGUAAAGGCAGUGGAAACUGAAUAGCUAGAGUGCCGUAGGGGUAGAGGGAAUUCCCGGUGUAGCGGUGAAAUGCGUAGAGAUCGGGAAGAACAUCGGUGGCGAAAGCGCUCUACUGGACGGCAACUGACACUCAGGACGAAAGCUAGGGGAGCGAAUGGGAUUAGAUACCCC
rnacentral:rRNA from 1 species